UACGUAGGGUGCGAGCGUUGUCCGGAAUUACUGGGCGUAAAGAGCUCGUAGGUGGCUUGUCGCGUUGUUCGUGAAAACUCACAGCUCAACUGUGGGCGUGCGGGCGAUACGGGCAGACUGGAGUACUGCAGGGGAGACUGGAAUUCCUGGUGUAGCGGUGGAAUGCGCAGAUAUCAGGAGGAACACCGGUGGCGAAGGCGGGUCUCUGGGCCGGUACUGACGCUGAGGAGCGAAAGCGUGGGGAGCAAACAGG
rnacentral:rRNA from 1 species